rnacentral:rRNA from 1 species
UACGUAGGGUGCGAGCGUUAAUCGGAAUUACUGGGCGUAAAGCGUGCGCAGGCGGUUGUGCAAGACCGAUGUGAAAUCCCCGAGCUUAACUUGGGAAGUUAGCAUUGGUUGACUGCACGGCUAGAGUGUGUCAGAGGGGGGUAGGAAUUCCACGUGUAGCAGUGAAAUGCGUAGAGAUGUGGAGGAAUACCGAUGGCGAAGGCAGCCCCCUCGGGA